GCAGUGCUCCGUCCAAGACCAAGACCCAAGCCCACAGGAAUGCUAUCUGUUUUGGACUUUGCAUGAUUAUGGUUUUGGUUAUUAUGGCAGCAAUGGGAAGAAUUGGGAUGACACUGAUGGACUUUAGUGUCUAAAUUUACAUUAAUUGCAACAUGCCCAUUGCCAUUGAUGUGAUGAGAGUGAGCAUCCCCAUUUUGUGAGUUCGAAUUCCUUGCCAUAUGCAUCAUAUCGAUCCCCUCAGAAUGUGCAGAGUCUUCAAUAUAUUCUACAUC
rnacentral:misc_RNA from 1 species